rnacentral:lncRNA from 1 species
GAAAUUAUUUAAAAAAUAUUUUUUGUAUCAUUUCAAAUAUGCAGAAAUAUAAAAAUAUUUAACUUUUAAAUAUUUUAAUUUAAAAUAUUUUAAAAUUUUAAAAUAUUUAACUUUUUACUAUCAUGUGAAUUGAAUCGCCAGUCUAUGUCUGACGCAGGAUGCAGCAUGCUUGGGGCUGGUGCAUGGGGAUGACCCAGAAAGAUGUUAUGGGGAGGGAGGUGGGAGGGGGGUUCAUGUUUGGGAAUGCAUGUGAAUUGAAUCGCCAGUCUAUGUCUGACGCAGGAUGCAGCAUGCUUGGGGCUGGUGCAUGGGGAUGACCCAGAAAGAUGUUAUGGGGAGGGAGGUGGGAGGGGGGUUCAUGUUUGGGAAUGCAUGUAAGAAUUAAAGUUUUUAAAAUUUAAAAAAUAAAAAACUAAAAAAAAAAUAAAAUUUAUAAAAUGAUUAUAAACAUAUAGAAAUAUAGAUUUUUUUAAAUGCUUGCAUAAAGAACAUACAUUUAUUUACCUACACUGUUGGCAACCCACUCCAGUAUUCUUGCCUGGAGAACCCCAUGAACAGAGGAACCUGGCAGGCUACAGUCCAUGCAGUUGCAAAGAGUUGGACAUGACUGAAUGACUAACACACACUGUUUUAGGCAAUUACCAGAAUAGAAUUUCUAACACCUUUUUUUUGGGUCAAAUUUUGUAUUUAUUAAUUAACUUAUAAAUGUCUUUGUAUUUUAUAUAUUCUAAAUUAAUAUAUCCUGAAAACGUUAGAAAAAUGUGGGGUAUCAAAAAUCUAUACUAUCAUGUAAGAAUUGAAUCGCCAGUCUAUGUCUGACGCAGGAUGCAGCAUGCUUGGGGCUGGUGCAUGGGGAUGACCCAGAGAGAUGUUAUGGGGAGGGAUGUGGGAGGGGGGUUCAUGUUUGGGAACGCAUGUAAGAAUUAAAGAUUUUAAAAUUUAAAAAAUAAAAAACUAAAAAAAAAAUCUAAUACACUAGUGUCAUUUUAAAGUGAAAACUAAACCUAUUACCUCUCUAAAUUAUAUUUGAAAAUAUUCCCCUGUUUG